AAAGGCCUCAUUACCCAAGCUAUGACCACCUCCCUACCAAAUCAGUUUCAGCCUCAGCCAUGUAAACUCAGGACAGAGGUUGGGUUUGUCGAUCUGCUUUUAAUAUCCUCAUGCCAAAGUCCCUGGUAUGUAAUGAACACUAAGCUCAAGCAAAACUGUGAGCUGUGAUCUUGUUGCUGAUACUAGGUUUUCCAGUCCUCAUCUAGUCCUCCCAAUCCUGAGGUUUGCAGCAAUCAGGAGUAGAGCUGAGACCACAAUAAAAACCUAGUGACCCUUCUCAAUGCUGCCAUCUAAGUGAGAGACCCAAGCAGAACUGGUCAUGGCCAAAUGUUUUCUGUUUGUUCCAGGAAGG
rnacentral:lncRNA from 1 species